rnacentral:rRNA from 1 species
GAGUACCUACGGGAGGCAGCAGUCGGGAAUAUUGCGCAAUGGAGGAAACUCUGACGCAGUGACGCCGCGUAUAGGAAGAAGGUUUUCGGAUUGUAAACUAUUGUCGUUAGGGAAGAUAAAAGACUGUACCUAAGGAGGAAGCCCCGGCUAACUAUGUGCCAGCAGCCGCGGUAAUACGUAGGGGGCACGCGUUAUCCGGAAUUGUUGGGUGUAAAGGGUGCGUAGACGGAAGAACAAGUUGGGUGUGAAAUCCCUCGGCUCAACUGAGGAACU